ACACAUGGCCGACGCGGGUCAAAGUGUAGUAUCUGUUCUUAUCAGCUUAAUAUCUGAUAGGCGUUGUGUUUGGACCCAAGAUAUUAAACUUAUUUUUGCAAGUUGGCGGAGUGCUUGAGACCUGCUUCACCUUCGUCGCGGGUCGGCCCGGUCUUGCACAAUCUUCGGGAUUUUUGGUCUACGCACA